CAGGUGACAAUCUUCUUUUAAUUGUUUGAAAACAAAAAACACAUUUCAAUUUUAUAAAAACUAGAAAUUAAAAAGUAUUCUUUUGAAAGAAUGCAUUGGAUGACACAAAAGGGAAAUGAUUGUGAAAUGAUAUAAAAUAACAUAGUAAACAGUUAAAUUACCCUCAUGAUUAUUGAUUAAAUGCAAAUUAUGAAAUAAUUUUUUAUCUUGCAGCAGUGUUUUAGGGAGAUCAUAUAGGGUUUAUGUUUUACAUGUUUUCAGUCAUACUGACUUUGUCAUGCAAAGUUUAGACUGCAGAAUUGGUAUUUUUUUUAUUCAUAACUUUUUUAUGCCUUUUCAAGUAACUUUUGGAGAUUUUAUUUUAGUGUCGUCUUUAAAUCAGCAGUGCUAGUAUGUGAAACUAUUAAAUGACAAUAAGGACAUCUCUUUGUAAAUACAGAUAAACAUAAAAUACAUGCAACUGAAGCUUAUUGAGUAUUACCAGUUAAACAUGAAGGUGAACAUUAUUUUUCCCCAACUAUUUUGAUAUUGUUGUUAUUCAUAUUUUUAUUGUGAUUAUGUUUAUACUAAAGGGCAAUUUGAACUCAAUAAUAUUAUACUUAAUGAAGAAAUUUUUUUUAUUUAAAUAACAUCUGAAUAUAAGUUAAAUAUUCACAAAGACAUAGCUGAAAAGUAGUGGAGAGCUGUAUUUCAACUUCUCAUACUAAUCACACUAUUUGAAUUUCUUCAAUAUAACAUUAUAUUCUUGAAUCUUAGAAAAAAAAAGAUCAAUGCAAGGAUGUAGUUACGAGGCCAUUUGAUAUUUAUAUGAUAGACAGUAUUAAAAUGAUAUGAAAUCCGGAAUUAAUAUUGUACAAUCAAACAUAACAUUAUUGUCAACACUGCAAAUGAUAUCUUGACUUUAAACUCAACUUAUGAUGCAAUUCAAGAUUUCAAAUAUAAAGCAAAUAUGUUUUUAUACUUUGAUUAUGUUUAUAUUAUAAAACAGAUGCAAUCUUAAUAAAAUGACCAAAUGAUA
rnacentral:lncRNA from 1 species